rnacentral:tRNA from 1 species
GUGGUGGCAGCAUAGUGGUUAAGGAGUUAGGCUAGCACCAUAAAAGUUGUGGGUUCAAUUCCCACCUCCCACC